AUGGGGUCAGGGCACCCUCAGGAGCCCCCCAAACCCAGGUGCACCCCAUUUUGGAUGGUCUCCAUGACCACAUAUGGGGUCAGGGCCCCCUCAGGAGCCCCCCAAACCCAGGUGCACCCCAUUUUGGAGGUUCUCCAUGGUCCCAUAACCAGGAUGAGGCACCCUUCAGACCUCCCCCAGACCCAGGUGCACCCCAUUUUGGAGGUUCUCCAUGGUCCCAUAACCAGGAUGAGGCACCCUUCAGACCUCCCCCAGACCCAGGUGCACCCCAUUUUGGUGGGUCUCCAUGACCAUGCAUGGAAUCAGGGCACCCUUGGGACCCCUCAAAACCCAGGUGCACCCCGUUUUGGAGGUUCUCCAUGGCCAGGGGGACACUCACGGCCUCCAAGGUGCUGGAGCUGCCCCACUCGGCCGGGGCGAAGGCGUCCUCCUCGCCCCGCGCUGGCUCCGGCCCCUCGUCCUCGUACUCCGUGAGGUAGUCAGACUCCUCUGGGAUGGGGUGGGGGGGACACAGUCAGGCCCCAUCUAUGGGUCUGGCCCCAUCUAUGGGUCUGGCCCCACACGAUGGGACCCCCAAACACCACCACCCCCAAAGCUCACCGUCCCCGUAGCCAUCAGACAAGUAGGGCUUGGCGGGCUCGAUGCGGGACACGAUCUCGGCCAGGUCGGUGAAGCCGGCGCUGGGACACGUGAGGACCU
rnacentral:lncRNA from 1 species